rnacentral:rRNA from 1 species
UGGAGAAUCUUGCACAAUGGGCGCAAGCCUGAUGCAGCCACGCCGCGUGAGGGACGAAGGUCUUCGGAUUGUAAACCUCUUUCAGUAGUGACGAAGCGAAAGUGACGGUAACUACAGAAGAAGCCCCGGCUAACUACGUGCCAGCAGCCGCGGUAAUACGUAGGGGGCGAGCGUUGUCCGGAUUCAUUGGGCGUAAAGCGCGUGUAGGCGGUCCAGUAAGUCGAAUGUGAAAUCCAGGGGCUUAACCCCUGAACUGCAUCCGAUACUGCUGGACUUGAGGUAGGUAGAGGAGAGUGGAAUUUCUGGUGUAGCGGUGGAAUGCGCAGAUAUCAGAAGGAACACCGAUGGCGAAGGCAGCUCUCUGGGCCUUACCUGACGCUGAGACGCGAAAGCGUGGGUAGCAAACAGG